rnacentral:rRNA from 1 species
GAAACCGGAGUGAACGGUCGGACAAGAAGUAAGCUGUCUCUUUAAUAAAGCUUGAAUUUUACUUUUAAGUGAAAAGGCUUAAAUGAUGUAAGAAGACGAUAAGACCCUAUAAAACUUUACAAGCUGUAAAAGUGUAUUUAAUAAUCUAAAGUGUAACGGGGCGCUUGUACAGGUUGUUUUGCUGGGGCGGCAGAGAUAAAAUUAGUAACUGUUUUUAGUGUGAAAAUAUAGAUGUAUAGAAAGUAUGAUCCUAUAUUAUGGAUUAAAAGAGUAAGUUACUUUAGGGAUAACAGCGUAAUUUCUCUUGAGAGUUCUGAUCGACAGAGUAAGUUGCGACCUCGAUGUUGAAUUAAGGUGUUAUCCAGGUGCAGCAGCUUGGAUAGUAGG